UAGGGAAUCUUCGGCAAUGGGGGGAACCCUGACCGAGCAACGCCGCGUGAGUGAAGAAGGUUUUCGGAUCGUAAAGUUCUGUUGUUAAGGAAGAACGAGUGUGAGAAUGGAAAGUUCAUGCUGUGACGGUACUUAACCAGAAAGGGACGGCUAACUACGUGCCAGCAGCCGCGGUAAUACGUAGGUCCCGAGCGUUGUCCGGAUUUAUUGGGCGUAAAGCGAGCGCAGGCGGUUAGAAAAGUCUGAAGUGAAAGGCAGUGGCUCAACCAUUGUAGGCUUUGGAAACUGUUUAACUUGAGUGCAGAAGGGGAGAGUGGAAUUCCAUGUGUAGCGGUGAAAUGCGUAGAUAUAUGGAGGAACACCGGUGGCGAAAGCGGCUCUCUGGUCUGUAACUGACGCUGAGGCUCGAAAGCGUGGGGAGCGAACAGG
rnacentral:rRNA from 1 species